GGUCCUGGAACAGGAUCGGGGAGAGUGCCAGGCGGGCAGUUUGACUGGGGCGGUCGCCUCCCAAAGAGUAACGGAGGCGCCCAAAGGUACGCUCAGGCUGGAUGGAAACCAGCUGACGAGUGCAAAUGCAGAAGCGUGCCUGACUGUGAGAGCAACAACUCGAACAGGGACGAAAGUCGGGAUUAGUGAUCCGGCGGUGCCGAAUGGAAGGGCCGUCGCUCAACGGAUAAAAGCUACCCUGGGGAUAACAGGCUGAUCUCGCCCAAGAGUUCACAUCGACGGCGAGGUUUGGCACCUCGAUGUCGGCUCAUCGCAUCCUGGAGCUGGAUUCGGUUCCAAGGGUUGGGCUGUCCGCCCAUUAAAGCGGUACGCGAGCUGGGUUCAGAACGUCGUGAGACAGUUCGGUCCCUAUCUGUUGUGGGCGAAGGAGAUCUGAGGGGAGCUGUCCUUAGUACGAGAGGACCGGGAUGGACCUGCCGCUUGUGGAUCGGUUAUCACGCCAGUGGUAAAGCCGGGUAGCGAAGCAGGGAAGGGAUAAGCGCUGAAAGCAUCUAAGCACGAAGCCCACCCCAAGAUGAGAUCUCCCAUUCUGAGAAGAAGUAAGGCCCCUCAAAGACGAUGAGGUAGAUAGGCCGGGUAUGGAAGCG
rnacentral:rRNA from 1 species